CCCUAAAGACUGGGAUACCACUUGGAAACAGGUGCUAAUACCGGAUAACAACAUGAAUCGCAUGAUUCAAGUUUGAAAGGCGGCGUAAGCUGUCACUUUAGGAUGAGCCCGCGGCGCAUUAGCUAGUUGGUGGGGUAAAGGCCUACCAAGGCAAUGAUGCGUAGCCGAGUUGAGAGACUGAUCGGCCACAUUGGGACUGAGACACGGCCCAAACUCCUACGGGAGGCAGCAGUAGGGAAUCUUCCACAAUGGACGCAAGUCUGAUGGAGCAACGCCGCGUGAGUGAAGAAGGUUUUCGGAUCGUAAAGCUCUGUUGUUGGUGAAGAAGGAUAGAGGCAGUAACUGGUCUUUAUUUGACGGUAAUCAACCAGAAAGUCACGGCUAACUACGUGCCAGCAGCCGCGGUAAUACGUAGGUGGCAAGCGUUGUCCGGAUUUAUUGGGCGUAAAGCGAGCGCAGGCGGAAUGAUAAGUCUGAUGUGAAAGCCCACGGCUCAACCGUGGAACUGCAUCGGAAACUGUCAUUCUUGAGUGCAGAAGAGGAGAGUGGAAUUCCAUGUGUAGCGGUGGAAUGCGUAGAUAUAUGGAAGAACACCAGUGGCGAAGGCGGCUCUCUGGUCUGCAACUGACGCUGAGGCUCGAAAGCAUGGGUAGCGAACAGGAUUAGAUACCCUGGUAGUCCAUGCCGUAAACGAUGAGCGCUAGGUGUUGGGGACUUUCC
rnacentral:rRNA from 1 species